UACGUAGGGGGCAAGCGUUGUCCGGAUUUAUUGGGCGUAAAGAGCGUGUAGGCGGCCUGACAGGUCUGCUGUGAAAACUCGAGGCUCAACCUCGAGAUGUCGGCGGAAACCGUCUGGCUAGAGUCCGGAAGAGGAGAGUGGAAUUCCUGGUGUAGCGGUGAAAUGCGUAGAUAUUGGGAGGAACACCAGUGGCGAAGGCGGCUCACUGGACCGGAACUGACGCUGAGGCGCGAAAGCGUGGGGAGCAAACGGG
rnacentral:rRNA from 1 species